rnacentral:misc_RNA from 1 species
GUGAGUCAUCGAAUCUUUGAACGCACAUUGCACCCUAUGGUAUUCCGUAGGGUAUGCCUGUUCGAGCGUCAUUAUGACCAAAUCUAGCGGAUGCUAGGUGUUGGGCUACGCCGGUUGGCGGGCCUUAAAUCAUCACAGCAGCACGGCUAAGCCCUGAGCGUAGUAAAUCUUCUCGCUAUAGGAGCCAGCACGAGCGCUGUAUAAGCCUUUCUUAGGUUGACCUCGGAUCAGGUAGGGAUACCCGCUGAACUUAAGCAUAUCAAUAAGCGGAGGA